rnacentral:rRNA from 1 species
AUUGAACGCUGGCGGCAGGCCUAACACAUGCAAGUCGAGCGAGCGGCGGACGGGUGAGUAAUGUAUGGGGACUGCCCGAUAGAGGGGGAUAACUACUGGAAACGGUAGCUAAUAACGCAUACUAUAGGAUAACCCAUAUGGGAUGAGCUAGUUGGUGAGGUAAUGGCUCACCAAGGCGACUCUCCCUAGCGGGUCUGAGAGGAUGAUCCGCCACUCUGGUACUGAGACACGGCCCAGACUCCUAUGGAGGCAGCAGUGGGGAAUAUUGCACAAUGGGCGCAAGCCUGAUGCAUCCAUGCCGCGUGUAUGAAGAAGGCCCUAGGGUUGUAAAGUACUUUCAGUCGGGAGGCGUUACCGACAGAAGAAGCACCGGCUAACUCCGUGCCAGCAGCCGCGGUAAUUC